CACGCCGUAAACGAUGAUCACUCGCUGUUGGCGAUAUACAGUCAGUGGCUAAGCAAAAGCAUUAAGUGAUCCACCUGGGGAGUACGGCCGCAAGGCUGAAACUCAAAGGAAUUGACGGGG
rnacentral:rRNA from 1 species